rnacentral:rRNA from 1 species
GAUGAACGCUGGCGGCGUGCCUAAUACAUGCAAGUCGAGCGAACGGACGAGAAGCUUUCUUCUCUGGUGUUAGCGGCGGACGUGAGAGUAACACGUGUAUAACCUAGCUAUAAGAGUGGGAGAACAUCGGGAAACCGGAGCUAAUACCGGAUACUAUUGUAAACCGGAUGGUUCAAAAGUGAAAGACGGUCUUGCUGUCACUUAUAGAUGGAUCCGCGCUGCAUUAGCUAGUUGGUAAGGUAACGGCUUACCAAGGCAACGAUGCAUAGCCGAACUGAGAGGGUGAUCGGCCACACUGGAACUGAGACACGGUCCAGACUCCUACGGGAGGCAGCAGUAGGGAAUCUUCCGCAAUGGGCGAAAGCCUGACCGAGCAAUGCCGCGUGAGUGAUGAAGGUCUUCGGAUCGUAAAACUCUUUUAUUAGGGAAGAACAUAUGUCUAAGUAUCUGUGCACAUCUUGACGGUACCUAAUCAGAAAGCAACGGCUAACUACGUG